AAUUUUCAAAUUUUGAACACACACCCCUAUCUCUUUCUCUCUCUCUCUCCAUCAGAGCCCAUUCCCUUGCUGGAGACCCAACCCCAAUCUUCAUCUUCAUCAACCGAGGCAGCCACAAUCUUCAUCUUCUCUUUUCCUCCCUCUCUCUCUCUGCCAUCCCAAUCUUCAUUAGCCGAGGCAGCCCUAAAAGGGAGCCACUACAAAAAAGGAAGAAUCUAAAGGAAGAGUAUUAGAAAAAUUGGAAAAGAUUGGACCGAUCUAAAGCGGGUGAUCACCGAAGAAGAACACCUGCCAUUCCUCAAUUGGGAGGCUUGGAUUGUAUUCACAAUGUCAGCAUUAUAGAGUUUAAUCAAGGAAAUGGAAAAUAUUGUCGUUCAAGAACAAAUCUAAUGAAUUAAAUUGUGAACCUAUUUGGGGAUUCACACAAUGGGGCAACCAUGAAAGUGAAUUUUCUCUACUUAGGUAUGAACUUUUACUUCAUACCCAUUGGGCAGUGAUUAACAUUUUCUUCAUCAACAAAGUCCAUCACUGUUACUUCAGAAGCAGAAAUGAUAAUGAAUUAUAGUAAAAAUGCUCUGUCCAAAAAAACCUGUUGCCGGUGAUGUCCCUAAUGGGUUUCAAGGAUUGAAAGCAAUUAUAGUUGAUAAGAAACCGGUUAGAGCAGCUGUGACAAGAUACCAUCUGAAGAGACUCGGUAUUCUGGUUGAAGUCGUAAGUUGUGUAAGGAUGGCAGCUACUAUGUCUUGCAAAAAUGGAUCCAAGCUGAAAAACUGCUUACAAAGACAUUGUCGUACCCAAGAAGUGUUUGAACAGAGCAUCUGAAUGCCUAUUGGACCUGAAUUCAACCCAGUGACAGCGGUUGGAGCUCUUAAUCGGCCAGAGUUCAAUUUGUUGGCAAUACUCUAAUCACUAUACAUUUUAUUGUUUUGUACACUGAGUUCAAUUUGUUGUCAAUACUUUAAUCACUAUACAGUUUAUUGCUUUGUACACUAAGUUUAAUUUGUUGUCAAUACUCUAAUCACUAUAAAGUUUAUUCAUGUUUUAAAUUUUUUAUUAGAUGCAUUUCAUUCAUAUCUUUCCAGUGUCAAACAUUUUAAAAAAUUCACUCCCUACUCUUUGAAAAAAAAAAAAAAAACACGUGCCUUUAGGAUUGUUGGUGUUUGUUGCUGGAGAUAGAACUGCUCUGAAUAGUGGUUGAAUAAUGGUUUUUUGGUUUUUAGUACAGAUUUUUUUUGAGAUUUUAAAAAUUAUUUAUGAUGACCUCUUAUAGAGUUUCGUUUUAAAAUAAAAUGGAUUUUAUUAAUCUUAUUCGAAGGUAUGAAUUUAUCAUGGUGAAUUUGAGGUAGCAUGCCUUCAAAAUCUGUCACCAUUAAAGAAUUUGUUACUUUCCAACAUUAUUCUAUUAGUAUAAUAUGCCCUUUUAUCACAUCUUCCCCAUCUUUUUAGUUUACAAUACUAUGGUGGCUUAAUUUUCGUCUUCACAGCCUUACCCCACCAUCAAAUACCAAUUCUCAAAACACAUUGUACAAUCAAAUAUGAUGUACCCUACUAUGAUGUUUACAAGCUUAAUAGUCAUUUUGGAGGGUUUGAACAUUGUGUAGACAGCAUAAUCAGUUAUUUGUUAAAAACUGACAUUCUGCUGGAGUUAGUGCAACAUGUUAUGUGCACAUCCUUUUUGAUAUCUUAAUUUUUAUGUGAUUAUCCUAGGUUUGCUUGCUUAUGGUUGCAUCCAUUUGAAUGGACAAGUAACUUAUUGGAAAAUAAAAAGAAAAGAAAUAGAUUCAAGGCAUUUUGUCUUCUGCAGGUUGGUAAUAAUUUGUUAUU